CUCCCCAGAUGCAGGGGCGGCUGGGCGGGCCUGCCAGUGUCCCCUCCCCGCCCAGCUUCGCAGCCUGCCGCGCAGCCGGAGCGCGGAUCCUGGAACCCGGAGCCGGCGCCCGGGGGCUGGCAGCGGGCAACGAUGAAGAUCUGGAGCUCGGAGCAUGUGUUCGGCCACCCAUGGGACACCGUCAUCAAGGCUGCCAUGAGGAAGUACCCCAACCCGAUGAACCCUUGUGUGGUGGGAGUGGAUGUGCUGGAGCGGAGCGUGGACGUCCGCGGCCGGCUGCACAGCCACCGGCUCCUCAGCACCGAGUGGGGGCUGCCAGGUCUAGUGCGAGCGGUUUUGGGAACCAGUAGAACUUUGACAUACAUCAAAGAACAUUCUAUUGUGGAUCCUGUGGAAAAGAAAAUGGAACUUUGUUCCACCAAUAUCACACUCACAAACUUGGUGUCGGUGAAUGAGAGGUUGGUGUACAUGCCCCAUCCGGAGAACCCUGAAAUGACCAUGCUUACGCAAGAAGCCAUCAUCACCGUGAAGGGAAUCAGCCUUGGAAGCUAUCUGGAAAGUUUAAUGGCCAACACAAUAUCGUCCAAUGCAAAGAAGGGUCGAGAAGCCUUGGAGUGGGUGAUUGGCCGCCUCAACACAGAACUGGAGGGACUGGCAGCCCCGACCUGCACCAGAGCAUGAACCAGCGACCCCCGGGACAGGGAGACCCAGAGGCCAAGCAGGAAGCCACCGGCACUCGUCACUCCUGUCACCCUCCCCUCCUGUUUGGGGGGCGACACACACUCUGCAUUUGGUUUGUCAGAAGGAACAUGCUAGACUUUGUGGUUAGUGCAUGCCUACAGGCAUGUAGGAAGUGGACUCCUGAAAGGGAGUGAGUUUGCUCUACUUUGCUAUAGCUUACUUUACUUUUCUUGAGAUGGAUAGGAAUUUUUUUUUUCUUUUUCUGCCUCUAGGGUUACCAUUAGGGCUUGGUGCCUGCAUUCUGAAUCCACUGCUCCUGGUGGCCAUUUUUUCCAUUUUAUUGGGUAGGACAGAGAGAAAUUGAGAGAGGAGGGGGGAUAGAGAGGGAAAAAGACACCUGCAGACCUGCUUCACCGCUUGUGAAGCGACUCCCCUGCAGGUGGGGAGCCGGGGCUCAAACUCAGAUUCCAGAUCCUUGCACUCAGUACUAUGUGUGCUUAACCUGGUGUGCCACUAUCUGGCCCCUUGUUUGUUUGGUUUUUUUUUAAAUUUUAAUUAAAAAAUAAAUUUUAAUCGUCUCUUCCUUAGAAGCCAAAAUGCCAGAAUGAAAAAAGAAAUGAUUUUCUCAGCCCUCUUUAAUCUCUGGACAUAUAUACAGAAAUUUCUUUUUUAAUUAUUUCUUUAUUGAGGGAUUAGUGUUUUACACUCAGUAAAUACAACAAAUACAAUAGUUUGUACUGCAUAACAUUUCCCAGUUUUCCACAUAAUACAACCCCCACUAGGCCCUCUGCCCUCAUGUUCCAGGACCUGAGCCCCCCACCCACCCCAUAGACUUUUCCUUUGGUGCAGCACACCAACUCCAGUCCAAGUUCUGCUUUGUGUUCUCUCUUCUGAUCUUGUUUUCAACUUCUGCCUGAGAGUGAGAUCAUCCCAUAUUCAUCUUUCUGUUUCUGACUUACCUUACUUAACAUGAUUUCUUCAAGCUCUAGUCAAGAUGGGCUAAAAACAGUGAAAUCACCACUUUUAAUAGCUGAGUAGUAUUCCAUUGUGUGUAUAGACCACAACUUGCUCAGCCACUCAUCUGUUGUUGGACACUUGGGUUGCUUCCAGAUUUUGGCUAUUACAAAUUGUGCUGCUAAGAACAUAUGUGUACACAGAUCUUUUUGGAUGAGUGUGUUGGGUUCCUUAGGAUAUAUCCCCAGGAGAGGAAUUGCAGGGUCAUAGGGUAGGUCCGAUUCUAGCCUUCUGAGAGUUCUCCACAGAGGUUGGAACAAUUUACAUUCCCACGAGCAGUGCAGGAGGUUUUUUUUUUUUGCCUCCAGGGUUAUGAAUCCACUGCUCCUGGAGGCCAUUUUCCCUCAUUUUUGUUGCCCUGGUUGUUAUUAUUGUUGUUAUUGCUGUUGCUGGAUAUGACAGAGAGAAAUCGAGAGGGGAGGGGAAGACAGAGAGGGGAGAGAAAGACAGACACUGGCAGACCUGCUUCACCGCUUGUGUUGCGACUCCCCUCUAGGUGGGGAGCCGGGGGUUUGAACCAGGAUCCUUGAGCUGGUCCUUGCACUUGGCGCCAUGUGCACUUAACCUGCUGCGCUACUGCCCACCCCCACCCACCAGGAAGGUUCCUUUAAACAGAAAUUUCUAGCUGGAUCUGCAGCUGCGUGCAUUAGGAAUUCAGGUUGAGAAAACUGGGGCAGAGGAUGACCUUGGAAGCUGCUAAGGAAUCUGGCAGGUCAGACUUGGACCCAGGGACACUGACCCUGGGUUUUAAUGGCAGUUGGGUUGGGGGGUGGGUUCUCUGCCCUUUGUUCCCACUGCCCUGCUAGCACUGAAGUCUCCUGGCCCACCAGUAUCACAGCUGCUCUACACACAGGCUUCACUUACUCACUGCAUUUCCUUUUCUCCCCUCACCAUAGACCUUAGACUUCAUUUCCGAGAUGGGGUUUUUGUGAUAGGUCUAUACAAAGUAACAAGCAUCCAAGUUUCAUAGUAGUUUCUAGACAUGCAAUGGCAUAUACUUUCCCUAUGUAUGUGUUAACCAAACCAACCUGCUGAGUUUUUCAGAGGAGAAAUGAGGCCCAGGAGAAACCAUUACUAGUUCUUUCCGUAUUGUCACACAACUUGCCUGAGGUUUUAUCAGAUUUUAUUGCCCAGAAGCAUGAAGUUUCUCUGCUUUCCCUGAGUGCCCAGUAUCAACUGCUGUUGUUAUGUUUCUUGAAUUUGCCAGGAAUAAAAACUAUAAUGUCGGGAGUCGGGCUGUAGCGCAGCGGGUUAAGCGCAGGUGGCGCAAAGCACAAGGACCGGCAUAAGGAUCCCGGUUCGAACCCCGGCUCCCCACCUGCAGGGGAGUCGCUUCACAAGCGGUGAAGCAGGUCUGCAGGUGUCUGUCUUUCUCUCCUCCUCUCUGUCUUCCCCUCCUCUCUCCAUUUCUCUCUGUCCUAUCCAACAACGACAACAACAAUAAUAACUACAACAGUAAAACAACAAGGGCAACAAAAGGGAAUAAAUAAAUAAAA